GCACUGGUAGUCCAGCGGCUAGGACAUCGCACUCGUAAUGCGGCGACGAGGGUUCGAAUCCCUCCCUGUGCU
rnacentral:tRNA from 2 species